rnacentral:rRNA from 1 species
GACAGAGGAGCCAAGCGUUGUCCGGAUUGACUGGGCGUAAAGCGCACGCAGGCGGUCGCGCGCGUGGGGUGUGAAAUCUGGCCGCUUAACGGCCAGGCGCCAUCCCAUACGGCGCGACUGGAGUGAUGCAGAGGUCGAUGGAAUUGCCGGUGUAGUGGUGAAAUGCGUAGAGAUCGGCAGGAACACCCAGGGGGAAACCAGUCGAUUGGGCAUCUACUGACGCUGAGGUGCGAGAGCGUGGGGAGCGAACCGG